rnacentral:rRNA from 1 species
UACGAAGGGGGCUAGCGUUGCUCGGAAUCACUGGGCGUAAAGGGUGCGUAGGCGGGUCUUUAAGUCAGGGGUGAAAUCCUGGAGCUCAACUCCAGAACUGCCUUUGAUACUGAGGACCUUGAGUUCGGGAGAGGUGAGUGGAACUGCGAGUGUAGAGGUGAAAUUCGUAGAUAUUCGCAAGAACACCAGUGGCGAAGGCGGCUCACUGGCCCGAUACUGACGCUGAG